AGAUGCUCAAAGUAAAUGCAAACCGAGAUUUAGAGUGGUUCGGUCAAUCUUGACCAACGUCCACUUUCGGCUUCCUCCUCCGAUGAGGUUACCGGUGUCCACUAGAGGCCUUCCUUCAAUAGGCGAAGACCAACCACCCUUUUACAAUUUCACUCCUUUUGACGGGCUUAGGAGACAACCCUUACAGAAUUUUCUUUCCUCUCUUGACAGAUCAAAAUUUGGAAGAAAAGAGGGAAGAGAACUUUCAACUUAUACAACACUUUUGAGCUCUAAAAAUCACAGAGUAAGAUUAGGAU
rnacentral:lncRNA from 1 species